rnacentral:rRNA from 1 species
CAGCCGCCGCGGGAAUACGUAGGGUGCGAGCGUUAAUCGGAAUUACUGGGCGUAAAGCGUGCGCGGGCGGUUGUGUAAGACAGGUGUGAAAUCCCCGGGCUUAACCUGGGAACUGCGCUUGUGACUGCACAGCUAGAGUAUGGCAGAGGGGGGUGGAAUUCCACGUGUAGCAGUGAAAUGCGUAGAGAUGUGGAGGAACACCGAUGGCGAAGGCAGCCCCCUGGGCCAAUACUGACGCUCAUGCACGAAAGCGUGGGGAGCAAACAGGAUUAGAUACCCCUGUAGUCCCUGUCUCUUAUAC